UUCUUUGGCUACCCCAAAAGUCAAUUUGCCUUAUCUUUCUUUUGCUGCAUCUGAAGUCUAGCAGCUCAUUUUCCUCUUUCUCUACUCCUUUUUCCUCUUUCUUUGUUCUUCUUUCUUCUUCCCUUCUUACACGGUAACAUCUCUCCCUUCCUUUCUCACCGAAAAUUCUAGUUUCUUUAAAGAAGAAAUUAAACAAUUAGCCCUAAGGUUUCAUCUUCAAAGUGUGUGGGUGGUAAGAACGAGAACAAGGACACUUGAGCUCCUCGUAUACAAUCUCUUGCGCCUUCUGUUUUCAGUGCACAGGUUUUUCCUGGAAGCAGCGAGAGUAUUAGAGGUGGCAAGGAUUUUGUGUUUUCUCGUUUGUUAGAAUGUAGAGUUUUGUUGUAUAGCAGUUAGCUCUUUUCUUGUAUAGAAGGAAUCGAGAUGUACUUGAUCCUUUGGACACAGAUGUAAUUUGGUACCUUAGUUUGUUUUGAACCUCAGUUGUAUGUCUUGGGGGUUAGGUUUGUAAUAAGAGUCUUGCUAAACGUUUAGUUA